rnacentral:rRNA from 1 species
GAUGAACGCUGGCGGCGUGCCUAAUACAUGCAAGUCGAGCGAACAGACGAGGAGCUUGCUCCUCUGACGUUAGCGGCGGACGGGCGAGUAACACGUGGAUAACCUACCUAUAAUACUGGGAUAACUUCGGGAAACCGGAGCUAAUACCAGAUAAUACAUUGAACCGCAUGGUUCAAUAGUGAAUGACGGCUUUGCUGUCACUUAUAGAUGGAUCCGCGCCGCAUUAGCUAGUUGGUAAGGUAACGGCUUACCAAGGCAACGAUGCGUAGCCGACCUGAGAGGGUGAUCAGCCACACUGGAACUGAGACACGGUCCAGACUCCUACGGGAGGCAGCAGUAGGGAAUCUUCCGCAAUGGGCGAAAGCCUGACGGAGCCACGCCGCGUGAGUGAUGAAGGUCUUCGGAUCGUAAAACUCUGUUAUUAGGGAAGAAAAAAUGUGUAAGUAACUAUGCACGUCUUGACGGUACCUAAUCAGAAAGCCACGGCUAACUACGUG